rnacentral:rRNA from 1 species
CACGUAGGGGGCGAGCGUUGUCCGGAUUCAUUGGGCGUAAAGGGCGCGCAGGCGGCCCGGAAAGUCGGAUGUGAAAACUCGGGGCUCAACCCCGAGCGUGCACCCGAUACUGCCGGGCUUGAGGCAGGUAGGGGGAGAGUCGGAAUUCCGUGGUGUAGGCGGUGAAAAUGCGCAGAUAUCAGGAGGAACACCGGUGGCGAAGGCGGAUCUCUGGGGCCUGUCCUGACGCUGAGGCGCGAAAGCUGGGGAGCAAACGGG